AAGAAAACACUUGAUUGGACUGCGGCCCAUGAGUGAGCAAUAUUUAUUUCUUUUUGGGUCGGGGUCCGGCCAUGUCAUGCAGGUGCUCCAGUCCCACCGCCGGCCGGCCUCCGUGCUCCGGCCACCGACGCGUCCCCGGCGGCGUCCUCGCCCCUGCCUCCAACUCCAAGCCGCGCCGACCGUCCACUGCUCCUCCCCGUCCACCGAGCUCCGGCCAUCAGGUUAAUUAGUAUGUGCUACCUCGCUCGUGCUCUCCCAAUCUAAUGAAUCCUGUAACAUCUGGUGAUUGACGCCACGGAUGAAGAGAACCGAGUGGUUGCGGCUGAUUUUGGUGGAUUAAGCACCGAUUUCAGGGGCUGGAAGGAAGAAGAUUCAGAGGAGGGAGGCGAGCUGGGCCAUAAGGGCAAGUUCCCGCACACCACAUGUUCGAUGAAAUGCCCACCAAGGAACCGACCCGACCCAUGCUGCCACCCAUCAAUCAAUGUUCUAAAAGGUUAUCCCAGAAGGUAUGAAGGAUAAUGUGGCAGUCUGUACAACCAUAUAAUCUCGACCAAAUUGCUUUCCCAUGAGGGAAUUAAAGCUGUCAGCUAGCUGCAAUGAAGGCUGCAUAUGAAGAGCCGAGAGGGAUGAUGAAGACUGUCAGGAUUGAAGGCAUGGAUGUAUGCAGCAUCCUGUUGUUUACUACUCCCUCCGUGAGUAUACAGAUAGCUGCAAUGAAGGCUGCAUAUGAAGAGCUAAACUAGUGAUCUAAACACUCUUAUAUUUCU